CUCGCUUGCCGGAUAAUCGCCCCCGCCUUGGCGGGGGAGGAAAGUCCGAACACCCAAUUUGAUAUAUCGAUAUUUCGAUGUAUCUAAUCGUCGUGAACACCGCUAACGGCGGCCGAGGGCAACCUUAGGGCAUCCUGCAGGGCGCGGAAACCGCGCUUAAAAGGAGAGAGUGCAACAGAAACAUACCGCCCGGGCGCUUGCGCUUGGGUAAGGUUGAAAUCGCGGGGAGCGCGAUUAAGCGUUCUUAAUGUAAGAGCCCGCGCGCUUAUUCCGAGAGGAAUCGGCGGGGCAAACCCGUUCUGGUGCAAGGGGAAAAUAACACCCGCAUGAGCCCGCCAGCAAUGACGGGCCCAGAGAGAUGAUUAUCGCCCCGCCUUGGCGGGGUACAAAAUUCGGCUUAUAGGCAAGCGAGAUUU
rnacentral:RNase_P_RNA from 1 species